GCCUGGUGGGAGCAGCGCCCGGGCGCCGCGCUCCUCCUGCGGCGGCGUUGGCGGCGGGCGGGAUGCGCGGCCCGGCCCGCGGCAGCUGUGAAUUCUUGUAGAAGAUUGAUAGCUCUGCCAACAUUUGUCCACAAUAGAAGAUGGGUGGAUUAAUUUCAAGAUGGAGGCAGGCAAAGCCUUCCACUGUAGAAGUAUUAGAGAAAAUAGAUAAGGAAAUACAGACAUUAGAAGAAUUUAGAGAAAAAAAUCAGAGGCUACAGAAACUAUGGGUUGGAAGGCUUCUUCUCUACUCCUCAGUUCUUUACCUUAUUACUUGCUUAAUUGUAUAUUUGUGGUGUCUUCCUGAUGAAUGGACAGCAAGGCUGACAAUGACACUUCCAUUUUUUGCAUUUCCAUUGAUAAUCUGGUGUAUAAGAACUCUGCUAAUUUUUUUCUUUUCCAAACGGACAGAAAGAAAUAAUGAUGCGCUGGAAGAUUUAAAAUCCCAAAAGAAAAAAAUACUUGAGGAAGUAAUGGAAAAGGAAACCUACAAGAAUGCUAAACUAAUCCUUGAAAGGUUUGAUCCAGAAUCAAGUGCAAAGGACACUGAACUACCAUCUGCUGGAACAUCUGCAACCCCAAGACCUGGACAAGAAAUUCGUCAGAGGACUGCAGCUCAGAGAAAUGCUUCUACACCCCCACCUGCAACUCCUAAGCAAGGCUCUCCCAAGUCCCCUGCUCCAGCAUCUCCUACCCUGCAGAGAGAGGGCCCAGCUGUGGGCGGGCUCCCAGAAAGAGCUGCUGCGCCAUCCUUGCAAUCCAACGUUUUACCACGGCGCCCUGGAUCCCCUGCUACUUCAGUGCCUGGAAUGGGUCUUCAUCCUCCAGGCCCCCCUUUGGCAAGACCUGUUCUUCCUCGAGAAAGGGGAGUUGUGGAUAGAGUUAUUGAAUAUUUGGUUGGUGAUGGUCCUCAGAACAGGUAUGCCCUUAUAUGUCAGCAAUGUUUUUCUCACAAUGGUAUGGCUUUGAAGGAGGAGUUUGAAUACAUAGCAUUUAGAUGUGCCUACUGCUUCUUCCUGAAUCCUGCAAGAAAAACUAGACCUCGAGCUCCACGACUUCCAGACUUCAGUUUUGAAAAAAGGCCAACUACAGAAUUGCGAUCGGAAACGGAGCCUCUAGAACCCAGAGAGAGAAGGCCCCAGGAGACUGAACAGGCAAAAGACUCUGAAGAUGAUGGGGCCCAGCUCGUUGAGACAAAUGACACAGAUGAUAAAGCACCAAGUUCUGAGCAUCUAAAUGAUAAGCUAGCUGAAGAAGUCAAAAAAGAAGCAGAAAACAUUUCAACAACUGAAGAGGCUAUUUCAGAGUAUACUUCAGCUGAACAAAGUGAAGAAUCUUUAAUAAAAGCAGAAUAAAAUACUCAAGUGCCUUCUCUAGCUAGUUUUUAGCUUUGUUCAUGCCUGUUGUUACUAUUCAGAAGCUGGAUUUGUAGAAAACUCAAGCAACAAAGACCUUCCAGCUCUUCUCAAGUGGUCUGCUCUCUAAUUCCUUGCAUCACUUCAAGGAGUUCUGCUCAGUUGAUGAAACUUAAUUUUUGACUUGUUCAACACUCAAAAACAUUUUACAAAAUCACCAAGAAAAUUCCUUUUUAAGAAAACUGUUUUGAAUUGUGUUUUAAAGAAAAUGUGAAAGUUAUUUCUUUAGGAAUGUUUGUACUUGCAUUUUUUGUAUAGUGAGCUUUUAUUUAAACAGGAGUACCUGUAUAUUUAUAGAUGCUAUUGUUGUGAUAGCCUUGUUGCAUUAGUAAAGGGUAUGCUUGUUUAUGUACUAUAAAUAUUAUCUUUAAUCAGAAAUAUUAUCUUUAAUCAUUCUAAUCCUAGAUGUAGCCUUGACUAUACAUCACCUGCAGCUGAAAUUCCAUUAAAAUCAAUGGCAAAAACAUUAAUUAGUGUGAAUUCUUAGGCUCUAAGAGACUUCCUGAAAUGUCUGUCUUAGCUUUUCUGCUUGUAAUUGAGAAAAUAUUUGAACUUGUGCUCCCCUUUUGAAACUUACUGUUUUACCAAAUGAAGCAAAUUUUAAAGCAUAUCAAAUGAAAUUGCAGUUUGUUAUUUGAACAUAUGCUGUCUUUGCUGUGUAUCUAACUUCUUGAGGAAAAAACUGAUCAUGAAAAAGCUA